rnacentral:rRNA from 1 species
UACGUAGGGGGCAAGCGUUGUCCGGAUUUAUUGGGCGUAAAGAGCGUGUAGGCGGCCAAGCAGGUCCGCUGUGAAAACUCGAGGCUCAACCUCGAGACGUCGGUGGAAACCGUUUGGCUAGAGUCCGGAAGAGGAGAGUGGAAUUCCCGGUGUAGCGGUGAAAUGCGCAGAUAUCGGGAAGAACACCCGUGGCGAAGGCGGCUCUCUGGGACGGAACUGACGCUGAGGAGCGAAAGCGUGGGUAGCAAACAGG